AAAAUACUCCCUCCGUCCCAAAAUUCUCAUCUUAGAUUUCUCUAGAUAUGGAUGUAUCAAGUCACAUUUUAGUAUUAGAUACAUCCAUAUCUAGACAAAUAUAAGACAAGAAAUUUGGGACAGAGGGAGUAGUUG
rnacentral:pre_miRNA from 1 species